UACGUAGGGUGCAAGCGUUAAUCGGAAUUACUGGGCGUAAAGCGUGCGCAGGCGGUUAUGCAAGACAGAUGUGAAAUCCCCGGGCUUAACCUGGGAACUGCAUUUGUGACUGCAUAGCUAGAGUGUGGCAGAGGGGGAUGGAAUUCCGCGUGUAGCAGUGAAAUGCGUAGAUAUGCGGAGGAACACCGAUGGCGAAGGCAAUCCCCUGGACCUGGUACUGACGCUACA
rnacentral:rRNA from 1 species